GAUGAAGAACGUAGCGAAAUGCGAUAAUUAAUGUGAAUUGCAGAAUUUAGUGAAUCAUCGAAUCUUUGAACGCACAUUGCGCCCGCCAGUAUUCUGGCGGGCAUGCCUGUUCGAGCGUCAUUACAACCCUCAGGCCCCCGGGCCUGGCGUUGGGGAUCGGCGGAGCCCCCCGUGGGCACACGCCGUCCCCCAAAUGCAGUGGCGGUCCCGCCGCAGCUUCCAUCGCGUAGUAGCUAACAGCUCGCGACUGGGGAGCGGCGCGGCCACGCCGUAAAACACCCAACUCUUCUGAAGUUGACCUCGAAUCAGGUAGGAAUACCCGCUGAACUUAAGCAUAUCAAUAAGCGGAGGA
rnacentral:misc_RNA from 1 species